UACAGAGGUGGCAAGCGUUGUUCGGAAUUACUGGGCGUAAAGGGCGCGUAGGCGGCCAACUAAGUCAGACGUGAAAUCCCUCGGCUUAACCGGGGAACUGCGUCUGAUACUGGAUGGCUUGAGAUUGGGAGAGGGAUGCGGAAUUCCAGGUGUAGCGGUGAAAUGCGUAGAUAUCUGGAGGAACACCGGUGGCGAAGGCGGCAUCCUGGACCAUCACUGACGCUGAGGAGCGAAAGCCAGGGGAGCAAACGGG
rnacentral:rRNA from 1 species